rnacentral:lncRNA from 1 species
CCAACUUAAAUCAAUUUCAAGUAGAGAAAGACUCCUCUAUGCCUACCAGAUGCCACACCAAAAAAAUAAAUGCCGCCCCACUCAUUUUAGCAUGUGAAGAUGGAGAGUCUUUCUUCAUGAAGGCACUUAUCUUAACGCAUUGCCUUAAAUGAUCAACUAGAACGCUAAUGAUUUGUUGCCAAUUUAAGAUAGAAUUUUUAUGGCAUGCA